CCCUCCCCCAUCCUCACCAGCCUUUAGUGUUGUUUGUAUUUCUGAUGAUUACCAUGCCAACACCAAAUCACAAGGUGGCUUUGAUCUUGAUUAUUAAUGGCUGGUUGGGAGGAUGUAGGUCUUUAAGGGAACAAAAGGUUUUUGUUGUAGUGGUUUUAAUUUUAAUUAUAUGGCGCCAAAAAGCAUUAGAUACCAUUGUGAUUUGUGUUCAUGUCAAGGCCAAAGACAUAAACAGGCUUACAUAUAUCUUGUUUUGCAUAGGAUGUGGUGAACAAAGAAACAGAAAAGUCCUUCAGUCACAAUAAUGAGAUAGUAAUGCAGUUUAUGAGAAAUAGAGCAGUCAGCUGAGUGUAGGUGUUGACACAAUCCCUUGUGGGCAUAGAAUAAAA
rnacentral:lncRNA from 1 species